rnacentral:rRNA from 1 species
ACGGGAGGCAGCAGUGAGGGAUAUUGGGCAAUGGGGGAAACCCUGACCCAGCAACGCCGCGUGAGGGAUGACGGUUUUCGGAUUGUAAACUUCUGUCCUCUGUGAAGAUAGUGACGGUACCAGAGGAGGAAGCUCCGGCUAACUACGUGCCAGCAGUCGCGGUAAUACGUAGGGAGCAAGCGUUGUCCGGAUUUACUGGGUGUAAAGGGUGCGUAGGCGGAUUGGCAAGUCAGAAGUGAAAUCCAUGGGCUUAACCCAUGAACUGCUUUUGAAACUGUUAGUCUUGAGUGAAGUAGAGGUAGGCGGAAUUCCUGGUGUAGCGGUGAAAUGCGUAGAGAUUGGGAGGAACACCAGUGGCGAAGGCGGCUUACUGGGCUUUAACUGACGCUGAGGCUCGAAAGUGUGGGUAGCAAACCAGGAUUAGAUACCCUGGUAGUCCACACCGUAAACGAUGAUUACUAGGUGUGGGGGGUCUAUCCCCCUCUGUGCCGCAGUUAACACAAAUAAGUAAUCCACCCGGGGAGGUCGCCGGCAAGGUUGACACUCAAAGGAAUUGACGGGGGCCCGCACGAGCAGUGGAGUUAUGUGGUUUAAUUUGACGCAACGCGAAGGACCUUAUCAGUUCUUGACAUCCAAUUAACGAAGCAGAGAUUCAUUAGGUGCCCUUUGGGGAAAGUUGAGACAGGUGGUGCGUGUUUGUCUCUCAGCUUGUGUCGUGAGAUGUUGGUCUAACUCCUGCAACGAGCGCAACCUUUUUGAUUUGUUGGUCCGCAAGAGCACUAUAAUCAGAAUCCCGCUGACAUCCCGGUGGAAGGUGGGGAGGAUGUCACAUCAUCAUACCCUAUACGACGUGGGCUACACACGUAAUCCAAUGGUUGUGAACAGAGGGAAGCAAUGCCGCGAGGGUGGAGCAAAACCUUAAAAACGGUUUCAGUUCAGAUAGCAGGCUGCAACUCGCGUAGAUAAAGUUGGAAUUUCUUGUUAUGGCGAAUCAGCAUGAAGCGGGGAACAAGUUCCCGGCCUUUGUAAAGACCGCCCUUCA